rnacentral:rRNA from 1 species
CCUACGGGAUGCUGCAGUGGGGAAUAUUGCACAAUGGGGGAAACCCUGAUGCAGCGACGCCGCGUGAGUGAAGAAGUAUUUCGGUAUGUAAAGCUCUAUCAGCAGGGAAGAAAAUGACGGUACCUGAUUAAGAAGCCCCGGCUAACUACGUGCCAGCAGCCGCGGUAAUACGUAGGGGGCAAGCGUUAUCCGGAUUUACUGGGUGUAAAGGGGGCGUAGACGGCAGCACAAGUCUGGAGUGAAAUGCCGGGGCUUAACCCCGGAACUGCUGUGGAAACUGCGCAGCUAGAGUGCAGGAGGGGUAAGUGGAAUUCCUGGUGUAGCGGUGAAAUGCGUAGAUAUUAGGAGGAACACCAGUGGCGAAGGCGGCUUACUGGACUGUAACUGACGUUGAGGCUCGAAAGCGUGGGGAGCAAACAGGAUUAGAUACCCUUGUAGUC